AUGUAUUGUGUUCUGUUUGUAGUGGGACCGUGCUUCCAACGGCAUCAUUUUUAUAGUGCCACCUCACUUGAAUGUAAUUUAGAUUUUUGUUAAGGCACAGGUCGGGCUUGGUUAUUAUUUUAAUACUCGGGGAUAGACUAUUUAUGAGAUAUUAAUUUAUGGAAAAAGUAUUUGUAAUUCAUUCUGGGUUGUUUGGUUGUCUAAAGAAUAGUCGUUCACGGAAUAUGCAAAUACAUGAACUUUUGGAUAUGGUUCGAAAGAGAAGCUUUCCAGAGAAUUUUUAUAAAUGUUUGAUAGAGGAACACCAAAAGUGACAACAUUAACAAUCUUUGAUUGUACAGGCGACAAAGGAUCCGGACUCAUCUUGAUGGCUUAACUCAUUCAACCCUAAAUUUUAUAAUGAACUAUUCCGACCUUUGAAUUGGAAGAGUUCAAAUGUGUCUUCAGGGUUAAAUGAGUUAACUUGUACAGAAAACUUCCAGAGAAAAUAAUAAAAGAAAAAAAAAAUGUGAUUCAAUUAAAUAUCCUAUCUUUGGCUACAAAAAAAAAAUACAUCCCUCAAAAAUUCAUUUUCAUAUUUCAUAUUAAAAAGAAUGUGAAUGUAAGCAUAUUUCAUUGUUUGCACUUGAAGGUUUCAAGUCUUGUGGUUCAUUUGUGUCUUAGGCCAACCCAACAGUCAGUAAUGGCUAUCUCCUUUUGUUAGUGUACAGUAAGGUAGAUUUAGUGUGUAAUAACAUUACAAAUUAUUGAAUUAUGUUUGUUUCUUAAUAACUUCUACAGAUGUUUUAUACUAUCCAUGUCAUGUUUUUGUACAAAUGAGUUAAAUAAUGCUGUUUUGAGAUUCAAAGAGCAUUUGGUAUAUUGAUAAACCUAGAUAGCAUGGAGUCAUCUAAGGAAGUAAUCCAUUAUCCCUCACUGAUGUUAUUAUUUAAAUGGAUUUGUUUUGAUGCUUCAGAAAUAAAUAAAAAGAAAUUUGAUUUCA